rnacentral:tRNA from 1 species
GGUCCGGUGGUGUAGGGGUUAACAUGCCUCCCUGUCACGGAGGAGAUCGCGGGUUCAAAUCCCGUCCGGACCGCCA